rnacentral:rRNA from 1 species
CAAGUCGAGCGGUAGCACAAGAGAGCUUGCUCUCUGGGUGACGAGCGGCGGACGGGUGAGUAAUGUCUGGGAAACUGCCUGAUGGAGGGGGAUAACUACUGGAAACGGUAGCUAAUACCGCAUAACGUCUUCGGACCAAAGUGGGGGACCUUCGGGCCUCACGCCAUCAGAUGUGCCCAGAUGGGAUUAGCUAGUAGGUGGGGUAAUGGCUCACCUAGGCGACGAUCCCUAGCUGGUCUGAGAGGAUGACCAGCCACACUGGAACUGAGACACGGUCCAGACUCCUACGGGAGGCAGCAGUGGGGAAUAUUGCACAAUGGGCGCAAGCCUGAUGCAGCCAUGCCGCGUGUGUGAAGAAGGCCUUCGGGUUGUAAAGCACUUUCAGCGAGGAGGAAGGGUUCAGUGUUAAUAGCACUGUUCAUUGACGUUACUCGCAGAAGAAGCACCGGCUAACUCCGUGCCAGCAGCCGCGGUAAUACGGAGGGUGCAAGCGUUAAUCGGAAUUACUGGGCGUAAAGCGCACGCAGGCGGUUUGUUAAGUCAGAUGUGAAAUCCCCGCGCUUAACGUGGGAACUGCAUUUGAAACUGGCAAGCUAGAGUCUUGUAUAGGGGGGUAGAAUUCCAGGUGUAGCGGUGAAAUGCGUAGAGAUCUGGAGGAAUACCGGUGGCGAAGGCGGUCCCCUGGACAAAGACUGACGCUCAGGUGCUAAAGCGUGGUGGAGCAAACUAGGAUUAGAUACCCCUGGGUAGUCCACGCUGUAAACCAAUGUCCGACUUUGGAAGGUUGUGGCCCUUUGAAGGCGUUGG